rnacentral:rRNA from 1 species
UACAGAGGUCCCAAGCGUUGUUCGGAUUCACUGGGCGUAAAGAGUGCGUAGGUGGUCAGGUAAGUCUGAUGUGAAAUCUCUGGGCUCAACCCAGAAACUGCAUUGGAUACUAUCUGGCUAGAGGAGUGGAGGGGGGACUGGAAUACUUGGUGUAGCAGUGAAAUGCGUAGAUAUCAAGUGGAACACCAGUGGCGAAGGCGAGUCCCUGGACACUUCCUGACACUGAGGCACGAAAGCUAGGGGAGCAAACAGG